rnacentral:rRNA from 1 species
GACGAACGCUGGCGGCGUGCUUAACACAUGCAAGUCGUACGGUAAGGCCCUUUCGGGGGUACACGAGUGGCGAACGGGUGAGUAACACGUGAGUAACCUGCCCACAACUUUGGGAUAACGCUAGGAAACUGGUGCUAAUACUGGAUAUGUGCCCCUGCUGCAUGGUGGGGGUUGGAAAGCUCCGGCGGUUGUGGAUGGACUCGCGGCCUAUCAGCUUGUUGGUGGGGUAGUGGCCUACCAAGGCGGCGACGGGUAGCCGGCCUGAGAGGGUGACCGGCCACAUUGGGACUGAGAUACGGCCCAGACUCCUACGGGAGGCAGCAGUGGGGAAUAUUGCACAAUGGGCGCAAGCCUGAUGCAGCAACGCCGCGUGCGGGAUGACGGCCUUCGGGUUGUAAACCGCUUUCAGCAGGGACGAAGCUUUUUGUGACGGUACCUGCAGAAGAAGCACCGGCUAACUACGU